UCUCAUUCUUGGGCACUGUUGUGGCUACAUGGCAGGAAUCCUGUAUGAAAACUUGUUAACCAGACGGCACAACAAUUCAGGCUGCUCAAUCAACGGUAAAGCUGCUAGAUGAUCUACACCCAACAGCUCAUACACACAUUGGUCUUUUAUAUUUCAUAAUAUUUGGUGAUUUGCUGAGAAUUGAAUGUAAGCAUCAGGACCAUUCGUAUGAUCAUUCAAUGGCUCUCAUUUAUGGAGAUAUAAUCUAUUCAGCAAGGCUUCCUCUUGUCCACCUUUAAGUGGAGAUUGAACCAUUUCUUCUUUUUCGCCCUAUCCCUUGCAGGC